rnacentral:rRNA from 1 species
AACGAAGCACUUAUAACUGAUUCCUUCGGGACUGAUUAUUUUGUGACUGAGUGGCGGACGGGUGAGUAACGCGUGGGUAACCUGCCUUGUACAGGGGGAUAACAGUUGGAAACGGCUGCUAAUACCGCAUAAGCGCACGGCAUCGCAUGAUAUUUUAUUAAAGAAUUUCGGUUAUCGAUGGGGAUGCGUUCCAUUAGUUUGUUGGCGGGGUAACGGCCCACCAAGACUACGAUGGAUAGGGGUUCUGAGAGGAAGGUCCCCACAUUGGGACUGAGACACGGCCCAAACUCC